UCCGAGUCAAUCCGAGCACGACCGAACCGGCGGCCAUUUUGCAACUCUAGAUACGAGGUUCGAACGUCGUGAAGUUCGGACGUAGCGUCUCGGUCGCCGCGGAUUUAAUUUUGGGAGUGACUCCGAUAGUGAAAUAUUGAAUUGAAAUGCAGUCAACAACGCAGUCAGAAAUCAACGCCUUGACGACGACCCGGUGCAGCUGCAAAUACGUCGGAGCAAAGUAAGCUGAUGCUGUUCAGGCGCUGGGCGACGGAUACUGCGAUGUUAUCAUUUCUCUCCACUGCUCCAGGCGUAUUAUUCCCGAUCCGAACAACAGACAGAGUCGAUUAAUUGGCUGUUCCAGAAACAAAAGAACAGAGACAGGUCUGAACACGAGGUGCAUGGACUGCAAACGAGUCUGGAAGCGGUGACGCCCUGCGGAUUUGUUGUCCUACGGGGUGACAUAGACGUCGCGUCUGCAUCUAUCGCAGCGGCAAAAAACCGUCUGGACCUUCUCUCCGGGUGGUAUAUGUCCCCGAAUCGAGUGUAUGACGCGGUCUAUAUUGCCGGAUAGGGUUCGAGGCUUGGCGUCGUGGGUGGAGUUUAAUUCAUCCGGAAUUAUCCCUCGUAACGGGCGACUGACUAAAUUCUCAUCCCGAUGAAAUGAUUCGCGGCGCAAGGAAGGAAGGAUGGAUGGAACGGACCUACACUACUCGCAGGUCCUCGAAAUUACGGACCAGAUAUUUGGACGGCUGCGGGCUUCUGGAAAUAUCGGCACGACGCGAAAGGGAUUCUCCUUCCGUUAUCGAUUUCGCCCAUGGUGAUCGAGCCUGAUGGUGCGGUAAACUCUGGAGAGAAGGGAAAAAAGAAUGGCUUUUAUUUACGAGGGGCACAGAGGCGUCCUGCCGACAAGCUGACUGCAAAGAAACUCGGAGUUGAAUACCGCGAGGAACGGGGUUAGGGGUGGCAGGAGCAACUCGCUGGGGGAAGAAGAAACGUAUUUCCCGGCGGGAAGACGCAGGAAUUACCGUGGAAAGGAGAAAAAUAAUGAAAUCUCUCCUGAAAAUCUGUUAUUCCGCGUCUCCCUCCUUGUAAACCGGCACUCGGUACCCACUGUACGUGGGUGCAAUAGGUACGCGUCGACUUGGGUCCGACAUAUAAAGCUGCGCGAAAGGACUCGGCGAGGAAUAUUCGCAUUCGAGAAAGCAGCCAGUGAAUUACACUCUGUUUUAAGCGAGCUACCGACAUCAAAGGGUUGUGAAUUACGAGUUAUUUCAAGACGAAAAUUACGAUAAUAUCGCAAUUGAAGCGAUGUCAUUGCUCUUCGCGACGAGGAAGAUGUAG